CGAGCGGACAGAAGGGAGCUUGCUCCCGGAUGUUAGCGGCGGACGGGUGAGUAACACGUGGGUAACCUGCCUGUAAGACUGGGAUAACUCCGGGAAACCGGAGCUAAUACCGGAUAGUUCCUUGAACCGCAUGGUUCAAGGAUGAAAGACGGUUUCGGCUGUCACUUACAGAUGGACCCGCGGCGCAUUAGCUAGUUGGUGGGGUAAUGGCUCACCAAGGCGACGAUGCGUAGCCGACCUGAGAGGGUGAUCGGCCACACUGGGACUGAGACACGGCCCAGACUCCUACGGGAGGCAGCAGUAGGGAAUCUUCCGCAAUGGACGAAAGUCUGACGGAGCAACGCCGCGUGAGUGAUGAAGGUUUUCGGAUCGUAAAGCUCUGUUGUUAGGGAAGAACAAGUGCGAGAGUAACUGCUCGCACCUUGACGGUACCUAACCAGAAAGCCACGGCUAACUACGUGCCAGCAGCCGCGGUAAUACGUAGGUGGCAAGCGUUGUCCGGAAUUAUUGGGCGUAAAGGGCUCGCAGGCGGUUUCUUAAGUCUGAUGUGAAAGCCCCCGGCUCAACCGGGGAGGGUCAUUGGAAACUGGGAAACUUGAGUGCAGAAGAGGAGAGUGGGAAUUCCACGUGUAGCGGUGAAAUGCGUAGAGAUGUGGAGGAACACCAGUGGCGAAGCGACUCUCUGGUCUGUAACUGACGCUGAGGAGCGAAAGCGUGGGGAGCGACAGGAUUAGAUACCCUGGUAGUCCACGCCGUAAACGAUGAGUGCUAGUGUAGGGGUUUCCGCCCCUAGUGCUGCAGCUAACGCAUAAGCCACUCCGCCUGGGGAGUACGGUCGCAGACUGAAACCUCAAAGGAAUUGACGGGCGGAACAAGCGGGUGGAGCAUGGUGUUAUCGAGCACCCGGGAAGAACUACAGUCUUGAACUUCCUUUUGACACUAGAAAAGCC
rnacentral:rRNA from 1 species